rnacentral:rRNA from 1 species
GACGAACCGUGCGAACGUUAUUCGGAAUCACUGGGCUUAAAGCGCGUGUAGGCGGGCCGGCACGUCGGCCGUUGAAAGCCCCCGGCUCAACCGGGGAAGCGGCGCCGAUACGAUCGGCCUGGAGGGGGGUAGGGGGAUCUGGAACUUCCAGUGGAGCGGUGAAAUGCGUUGAGAUCGGAAGGAACGCCCGUGGCGAAAGCGAGGUCCUGGACCCUUACUGACGCUGAGACGCGAAAGCCAGGGGAGCGAACGGG